AUUACAAGGUUCAUGAUUUCUAAUGCUAGAACUGGAACUUUGCUUCCAUCUCCAACGUUCAGGAAUCUCUUGCCUUCAUCAAAUCUCCUACUGACCUGCAGACCCUGCAUCGAAUUGCAAAUAUGAUAAUGGCUUUCGGUAUCCAAUACCCAAGCAGUAGUAUCACAAAUGAAAAAGUUGCAAGGUGUUAUCAUAUAAGUACCUUGCUUCUUCUUCGGCCU
rnacentral:lncRNA from 1 species